rnacentral:rRNA from 2 species
GCAGUCGAGCGGACAGAAGGGAGCUUGCUCCCGGAUGUUAGCGGCGGACGGGUGAGUAACACGUGGGUAACCUGCCUGUAAGACUGGGAUAACUCCGGGAAACCGGAGCUAAUACCGGAUAGUUCCUUGAACCGCAUGGUUCAAGGAUGAAAGACGGUUUCGGCUGUCACUUACAGAUGGACCCGCGGCGCAUUAGCUAGUUGGUGGGGUAAUGGCUCACCAAGGCGACGAUGCGUAGCCGACCUGAGAGGGUGAUCGGCCACACUGGGACUGAGACACGGCCCAGACUCCUACGGGAGGCAGCAGUAGGGAAUCUUCCGCAAUGGACGAAAGUCUGACGGAGCAACGCCGCGUGAGUGAUGAAGGUUUUCGGAUCGUAAAGCUCUGUUGUUAGGGAAGAACAAGUGCGAGAGUAACUGCUCGCACCUUGACGGUACCUAACCAGAAAGCCACGGCUAACUACGUGCCAGCAGCCGCGGUAAUACGUAGGUGGCAAGCGUUGUCCGGAAUUAUUGGGCGUAAAGGGCUCGCAGGCGGUUUCUUAAGUCUGAUGUGAAAGCCCCCGGCUCAACCGGGGAGGGUCAUUGGAAACUGGGAAACUUGAGUGCAGAAGAGGAGAGUGGAAUUCCACGUGUAGCGGUGAAAUGCGUAGAGAUGUGGAGGAACACCAGUGGCGAAGGCGACUCUCUGGUCUGUAACUGACGCUGAGGAGCG